UGCCACAGUCAUAUCACCCAGCAGCCCAAGAGCGGUUACUCACUGACGCUAAGCAGGGCUGAGCCUGGUAAGUACCUAAAUGGGAGACCACAUGGGAAAACUAGGUUUCUGUUGAAA
rfam:Danio rerio chromosome 14 genomic contig CTG1748, GRCz11 reference primary assembly.